rnacentral:lncRNA from 7 species
UUUUGACAAUGAUUCUUUAGUUACAUUGUUUUGUUGGAUGAGGUUGAAUAUACUUGGAUGUCUCAUGAUUUCGUUGAUCGCGUUAAUCUCUCACCAAGAUACAGAACCUUCAUUGCCUCUGUUUGUUGCUCUUGCAUAUUCUCAAUUUUGUAUUAUUUCGCUGAUACUGAUGAAAGUUGCAAAUUUGAGAAGCUGAUUCAUUACUAAUCGAUUAUUUUUAUUUUUUCUAAGAAGAACAUGGUAUAUGCAAAUAAUUUGAG